GCGGCCAUGGCGGAAUAGGCAGACGCGUACGUUUGAGGGGCGUAUGGGACGACCGUGUGAGUUCAAGUCUCACUGGCCGCACCA
rnacentral:tRNA from 1 species